rnacentral:rRNA from 1 species
GAUGAACGCUAGCGGCAGGCCUAAUACAUGCAAGCCGAACGGUAAUUCUGAUAGCAAUAUUGGAACUAGAGUGGCGUAAGGGUGCGUAACACGUAUGCAAUCUACCCGCAACAGGAGGAUAGCUCCCCGAAAGGGGAAUUAACCCUCCAUGAGAUCACACGAGGGCAUCCGAGAGUGAUUAAAUUUGAGGAGGUUGUGGAUGAGCAUGCGACUGAUUAGCUAGUUGGCAGUGUAACGGACUACCAAGGCGAUGAUCAGUAGGGGAACUGAGAGGUUGAUCCCCCACACUGGC